UGAAUUGACGGGACCCCGCACAAGCAGCGGAGCGUGUGGUUUAAUUCGAGGCUACACGAAGAACCUUACCAGGGUUUGACAUGCAAGUGGUAGGAAUCCGAAAGGUGACCGACCCUUCGGGGAGCUUGCACAGGUGCUGCAUGGCUGUCGUCAGCUCGUGUCGUGAGGUGUUCGGUUAAGUCCGCUAACGAGCGCAACCCUCGUCGUGUGUUAUACGUGUCACACGAUACUGCCGGUAUCAAGCCGGAGGAAGGUGGGGAUGAUGUCAAGUCAGCAUGGCCUUUAUAUCCUGGGCUACACACACGCUACAAUGGCAGAUACAAUAGGUUGCGAAACCGCGAGGUGGAGCCAAUCCUCAAAGUCUGUCUCAGUUCAGAUUGUAGGCUGCAACUCGCCUGCAUGAAGUUGGAGUUGCUAGUAAACGCAGGUCAGCUAUACUGCGUUGAAUACGUUCCCGGGGUUU
rnacentral:rRNA from 1 species